rnacentral:rRNA from 1 species
CCUACGGGUGGCAGCAGUGGGGAAUAUUGCACAAUGGGGGAAACCCUGAUGCAGCGACGCCGCGUGAGCGAGGAAGUAUUUCGGUAUGUAAAGCUCUAUCAGCAGGGACGAAAAAAGACGGUACCUGACUAAGAAGCCGCGGCUAACUACGUGCCAGCAGCCGCGGCAAUACGUAGGGGGCAAGCGUUAUCCGGAUUUACUGGGUGUAAAGGGAGCGUAGGCGGCAAGGCAAGUCAGGAGUGAAAGGGCAGGGGUCAAACCUGUAAUUGCUUUUGAAACUGUGGGGCUAGAGUGCAGGAGAGGUAAGUGGAAUGCCUGGUGUAGCGGUGAAAUGCGUAGAUAUUAGGCAGAACACCAGUGGCGAAGGCGGCUUACUGGACUGUAACUGACGUUGAGGCUCGAAAGCGUGGGGAGCGAACAGGAUUAGAUACCCCUGUAGUC